rnacentral:rRNA from 1 species
AGCGCGGGGGCAACCCUGGCGGCGAGCGGCGAACGGGUGAGUAAUGCAUCGGAACGUGUCCUCUUGUGGGGGAUAACCAGUCGAAAGACUGGCUAAUACCGCAUGAGAUCGAGAGAUGAAAGCAGGGGACCGCAAGGCCUUGCGCGAGAGGAGCGGCCGAUGCCCGAUUAGCUAGUUGGUGGGGUAAAAGCCUACCAAGGCGACGAUCGGUAGCUGGUCUGAGAGGACGACCAGCCACACUGGGACUGAGACACGGCCCAGACUCCUACGGGAGGCAGCAGUGGGGAAUUUUGGACAAUGGGGGCAACCCUGAUCCAGCCAUGCCGCGUGUGUGAAGAAGGCCUUCGGGUUGUAAAGCACUUUCGGACGGAACGAAAUUGCGCGGAUUAAUAACCCGCGUAGAUGACGGUACCGUAAGAAGAAGCACCGGCUAACUACGUGCCAGCAGCCGCGGUAAUACGUAGGGUGCGAGCGUUAAUCGGAAUUACUGGGCGUAAAGUGUGCGCAGGCGGCGUUGCAAGUCGAGUGUGAAAUCCCCGAGCUUAACUUGGGAAUUGCGCUCGAAACUACGAUGCUCGAGUGUGGCAGAGGAAGGUGGAAUUCCACGUGUAGCGGUGAAAUGCGUAGAGAUGUGGAGGAACACCGAUGGCGAAGGCAGCCUUCUGGGCCAACACUGACGCUCAUGCACGAAAGCGUGGGGAGCAAACAGGAUUAGAUACCC